rnacentral:lncRNA from 1 species
UUUUUUUUUUUUUUUUUUUUUUUUUUUUUUUUGUCUUUUGUCUUUUUUGUUGUUGUUGUUGUUGUUGUUGUUGUUGUUGCUAUUUCUUGGGCCGCUCCCGCGGCAUAUGGAGGUUCCCAGGCCAGGGGUCCAAUCGGAGCUGUAGCCACCGGCCUACGCCAGAGCCACAGCAACGCGCGAUCUGAGCCGCGUCUGCAACCUACACCACAGCUCACGGCAACGCCGGAUCAUUAACCCACUGAGCAAGGGCAGGGAUCGAACCCGCAACCUCAUGGUUCCUAGUCGGAUUCGUUAACCACUGCGCCACGACGGGAACUCCCCUCCAUCACUUCUUGCUGUCUCUAUCAGGAGAGCAAAAGUGUUAAAAGAAACUCUCAACUUAUAUAUCAUUUGCAAAAUUAUGACUUUUUUACUUAUAAGGAAAACUGGAAAAUGUAAUUUUUUAGGUGAACACACUGCCACUCUGACUAAAGUGAUUCUGUUGGAAAAGAGGGGCGAGUGGAUAUUGAGUAGGCAGCCUGCAAUAUCUACCAUAAAGAGUUUAGGAGUUCCUUUGUGGCACAAUGUGUUAAGGAUCCGGCGUUUUCAGUGAAGUGGCUUAGGUCACCGCUCUGGCACAUGUUCUAUCCCUAGCCCAAGGACUUCCACAGGCUGUGGGCACAAUCCCCCCAACCCUCCGAAAAAAGCUUGGACUUCCAACCUAUACCACAACUAGCCUAUAUUGUAGCCUCAUGUUCUCUGCUGAUUUAGUCUUUAUCAGGUAGGGCUAGGGGCCAGGGACUGAUUUAAUAAAGGUGAAGUGUGGAUUACUAUUUUAACUUAUAUGUAAAACUAGUGGCUGAGCCAUUGGUAUACACUAUUCACACAGAAGAAUUAACAUUCCUGAGGACUAGAAACAUAAAAAAGGCAAUUUUGCAUGUGCAAAAGACAAAGUGGUGUAAGAAAUAAUUUUAAUGCAGUUAUACCUCUUUUCCAGCAAGCUACAGGAUCUCUAAUAUUUAACUGAGAACUUCUUUUUUUUAAGGGUCCCUCCUGCAGCAUAUGGAAGUUCCCAAGGUAGAGCUUGAAUCAGAGCUUAGGCUGCCUGUCUAUGUCACAGCCAUAGAAACACAGGAUCCAAGCCUCCUCUGUGACCUAUGCUGCACCUUGCAACACCAGAUCCUUAACCCACUGAGCGAGGCCAGGGAUCAAAUCCGAAUCCUCGUGGAUACUAGUCAGAUUCUUAACCUGCUGAGCCACAGCAGGAACUCCCUGAGAACUUACUUUUGUAAUUACUCAACUUGGCAUAAGGAUAUUUUUCGGGAAUGUAGAGACAAAUAAAAGAUAUUUUAAACUGCCAACGUAAUUAUAAGUAUGUGGUUUAAAAACAUAGCUUUAGGGUUAAUCAAGGUGUUUUUGUUUCUUUUUGUUUCUUUGGUUGGGUUUUUUUUUGCUUUUUAGGGCCACAUCCAUGGCAUAUGAAGGUUCCCAUUCGGAGCUACAGCUGCCAGCCUGCACCACAGCCAUAGCAACAUCAGAUCCAAGCCGCAUCUGCAACACCACAGCUCACAGCCAUGCCGGAUCCUUAACCCACUGAGCAAGGUCAGGGAUCGAACCUGCAACCUUAUGGUUCCUAGUCGGGUUUGUUUCCACUGUGCCAUGACAGGAACUUGUAGCAGGCUUUUCAAAAUUAAAAGUAUCUUCUUUUUUUUGUAAUCCCCCCCCCUUUUUUUUAAUCUGCCACACCUGCAGCAUAUAGAAGUUCCCGGGCCACGGGGUCAAAUUGGAGCUGAAGCUGCAGCCAACACCGCAGUCACAGCAACACCAGAUCUGAGCUGCAUCUGUGACAUACACUGCAUCUUGCAUCAACACUGGGUCCUUAACCCACUGAGCAAGGCCAGGGAUAUAGAUGACAUGGGAUCCUUUACCCCCUGAGUCAUAACGGGAACUCCAAGUAUCUUCUGAUUUUAAUGGGAAAUUGGAGAGGAAAAAUUUUUCAACUCCCCCCCCCCACUUUUUAGGGCUGCACCUGCAGCAUAUUGGAAGUUCUCAGGCUAGGAGUCAAAUUGGAGCUGCAGCUGCCGGCCUCUACCAUAGCCACGCCAGAUCCAAACUGCAUCUGCAACCUACACCGCACCUUACAGCAAUGCUAGAUCUUUUAACCCACUGAGCGAGGCCCGGAAUCAAACCCACAUCAUUAUGGAUACUAAUCAGGUUCGUAAUCCACUGAGCCACAGGGGAAACUCUUUUACUUUUUAAAUUGUAUUCAUUUCUACUUUUUUUUUGGCCAUGCCCUGCAGCAUUCAGAAGUUCCUGGGCCAGGGAACAAACUACCACAGCAGCGACCUCAGCCACUGCAGUGUCAACUGCAUCAGCAUCCUUAACCCAUUGAGCCAUCAGGAAACUCCUGUAGUUUUAAAAGUAGUAUUAUUUCAUCUGUGUCUCCUAGCAGAAUAAGCCAAUUAGAUACCACAUUAGAUUAAAAGUGUUCAGGUUAUCCAUUUUACCAUUAGGGACAACAAUAUAAAAAUGUGUCUAGAAAUUAUUGAGAAAGAUCAAGUUGACCUGUGUCCAUUUUAAGAUUUUGUGUGUGUGUGUGUAUAUAUAAAAUUUAGGGCCACACUUGCAGCAUAUGGGGGGUUCACAGGCUAGGUCUCAAAUCGGAGCUUCAGCUGCCAGCCACAGCCACAGCAAUGCUGAGCCACAGCCAGAACUCCAAAGAUUAUAUUUUCUUAUAUAUGUUACCAAAUUAUCCCCAAAUUUCUAAAAAUAGUAAUUGCUAAAUAAAAUGCCCUAGAAUAUUGAUUUAUGUGAGUUGUUAGUAUUUCUUGAAAAAAAAGAUGCUCUUACCAGGAGUUCCUGUUGUGGCACAGUUGAAACUAAUCUGAUUAGUAUCCCUGAGGAUGUGGGUUCAAUCUCUGGCCUCACUCAGUGGGUCAGGGAUCCAGCAUUGAGGUGAACUGUGGUGUAGGUUGCAGAUGUGGCUUGGAUCUGGUGUUGCUGUGGUUGUGGUGUAGGCUGGUAACUGCAGCUCCAAUUUGACCCCUAGCCUGGGAACUUAUAUUUGCCAUGGGUGCAGCAUGUAAAAAAAAAACUAAUCAAAUACUAGAUUGAACAAAAUUAAGCUGAUCAUUGAUUGGUUUUUCAGAACCUGUAACAUGCCAUGCAAGUGAAUUACCUGAUAACAGUAUUCACUUUUCAAAGAGCACCCCCAAGUCUGUGCCAGUCUAAGUUUCUGCAAUUAGUUUGAUGCUUACCCAGGCCCAAGUUGAACUCCCAUCCUACAGCUGUGAUUUAGUAGGACUUGGAAACAAUUCACCAGGUAACCUUGACGCCAGGAUUUUGCUUCUCUUUAAAUUACUGCAUGUUGUGUUCUGAAUAUUUGUGUCCCCCGAAAUGCAUAUGAUCAUAUCCUAGUCCUCAAGGUGAUAGUAUUAGCAGGCAGGGCCUUUGGAAGGUAGUCAUGAGAACAGAGCCCUCCUGAAUGAGAUUAGUACCCUUAUAGAAAAGACCCUUGAAGCUUAGCUAGCCCAGUUCUGCCAAAUGAGGACACAGUCAAAAGAUACCCAUUUAUGAACAAAGUUUCAGGUCAUCACCAGGCAUCAAAUCUACUGGCACCUUGGUCUUGGACUUCCCAGUCUUCCAAGCAGUGAGAAAUACAUUUCUGUUUUUUAUAAGCCAACUAAUCUAUGGUAUUCUGUUAUAGCAGCCCGAAUGGACCAGGACAUCCUGAUGACAUCUCCAGACUUAAAUUCUCUUCAGGAGGUUUGACUGAUAGACCCAAGGGAUUGAACUGUGUCAUGGUUGGCAUAGGCCGCUGACUGCAUUGUUUAUUAUAAUGCUGUCCUCAUAGUUUGUCACUCAUACACUAUAGCUUUUACUUUUGAAACAUCCAUAUGCUCUUCAAGUUUACUAUUUAUUUAGGGCUGAUGAUGACUAUAAUUAAUAUUACAAAGUCAUGGAAAAGGACAUCCAAAUAAAA